ensembl:lincRNA
CAGAUCUGAAAACUGUGAAUGACAGUGACAAUCGGAAUACCUUUUACAUAGUGCCUAUCUCCAAGGAAUCAUUUUUCCCUCAUGUCAGAGGAUCCAGUAAUCUGUCUUUGGCUAAAGAGAGAGAUUUUUUUUUUUUUUUUAAUGUCCAAGCUUCCAGUAGCCUAAACAAUUGCCAGCAGAGAAACCAGGAUGUUUUCUUUCAAAAGCCUAUACAGAACUAUUUUGGAAACAGUUCAGCCACUGGGUAAGCGAGUCAAAGGGCUGCUAGGAAGUGCGUGCUGUAACACACAUUUCACUCUCUGCAAACAUUCUUUUCUGAUGGUGCAUCUGAGUGCUGAGAUUCUCUCUCCCUGGGGCCUUCCUGUUCCAUCUGCUCCAGCUUACUGGUUCCCCUGCAAAAACAGCAAAGGAUGCCAUCCCUGCACUGGAGAAGAAAUGCCACCCAACCUCCUCAGUUUUGUACUUAUUUGACUGAUAAAAGAAAAACUUCAGCUGAAUUAAAUUUAAAGAAGUUUAACUGAACAACCAACGAUUCGCGAAUCAAGCAGCUUUCCCAGCCAGAGUAGGCUCAGAGACUCCAGCACAGCCACAUGGGAGAAGAUUUAUGGACAGAAAAACGAAAGUGAGGCACAGAAGCAACUGGAUUGGUUACAGGUUGGCAUUUGCCUUAUUUCAACAUGUUCAAACAAUUGGCUACAUUUGGCCAAAACUCAAUGAUUGGCACAAAUGUAAGCUACGGUCUGUUUACACCUCCACUUGUUAUAGUUCACAAUGUACAGAAAAACCUUUAAGUCGAACUUAAAAUACGUACAGAGGCAACUUUAGGCUAAACUUGAUUUAACAGGACUCUGGAGAAUUGUUAAUUUGAGUAUAUUAUGAAUAUAGCCAUUUUGUGUAUAAAAAAGCUAUGCAUGGUUUUACAGGAACCUAGUUCAAGAAAAAUCAGACAUAUAAAACAGACUAAUAAGGAAGUGCUUACUCUUAUUAGAAAAUUAUUCACCUUACAGGAUAAUUUGCACCGGAGUUCAUUUUAUCUGUGUGCAUCCGAAGUAUGAUUUUGUAUUAAAAGUGUGUACUUAUUACUAUCUUAAAUUUUAUUGCAUUUGUCUAAUUAUCCAGAUAAUUAUGGUUUUUAAGAAAGAUAUGCUUUCACCUGAACUACCCCAAACCUGAGAAACAAUGUUAUUUAUAGAACAUUAGAACUGGAAGGGAACUGAGAAACCCUUUAAUCAAGCUGUAUGUAGAUUUGUUUUUUUAAUGUUGAGCUUGUAGUUAGAAUGUAGAUGCAGGAAAGUUGAUCAGCAUUAUCAUCGCUUAUUAAUUUAUUCUAGCUCUCAUUUUGUAAGUGUGUGUGUGUGCAUGUGUGUAUUUGGCAUAAGAAGUUGGCUAAAAUUUCCUAGCCUAAAAAUGAUCAAAGGAGUAUUUUCUUGAUCUGCAGUCAAAUGCUCUACCCCUGAGCUAUACCUUCUCCUUAAAGGAGUAUUUUCUACUACCCCUUUAUUCAGCAAGUAGCAAAUACAAAGAAAGGAACCUUAAAGUCUUUAUAGGUGACUUUUAUUUGAAAAAUAUAUGACAUAUGACCCACAUCUAUGUACUAGUUUUAAAUGCUAUCUGGCCUUUGUUAUUAUUUGUCUUAACAAAACAAAACAAAAUCAUGCAGUUGUCAGAGGUGUGUGAACCAGAGCAACUCCAUCUUAAGUAGGAGCUGGGUAAAAUGAGGCUGAAACGUACUGGGCUGCAUUCCCAGAUGGUGAAGGCAUUCUAAGUCACAGGAUGAGACAGGAGAUCAGCACAAAAUACAGGUCAUGAAGACCUUGCUGAUAAAACAGGUGGCAGUAAAGGAGCCGGCUAAAACCCACCAAAACCCAAAUGUCGACGAGAGUGACCUCUGGUUGUCCUCACUGCUACACUCCCAACAGCACCAUGACAGUUUACAAGUGCCAAAGCAAACCAGGAAGUUACCCUAUGUGGUCUAAAAAGGGGAGGUGUGAAUUAUCCACCCCUUGUUUAACAUAUCAUCCAGAAAUAACCAUAAAAAUGGGCAACCAGCAGCCCUCGGGGCUGCUCUGUCUGUGGAGUAGCCAUUCUUUUAUUCCUUUACUUUCUAAAUAAACUUGCUUUCACUUUGCACUGCAGACUCGCCCUGAAUUCUUUCUUAUGCGAGAUCCAAGAACCCUCUCUUGGGGUCUGGAUCGGGACCCCUGUCCUGUAACAUAUUUCUGGUGACCAUGAAGGGACUAUAGUGCAGUAGCCCUGACCCAAUGGCUACCUUUGGGUAAGUGUCGGGGUCCUGUAACGUCUUUCUGGCAACCAAGGAAGCGACUAUACUGUGGAAACCUCUGACCCAAAGGCUACCUUUCGGUAAGUGGUGGGGUCCGGUAACAUCUUUCUAGGGAACCACAAAAGGGACAAUACUAAGGAGACCCUCCCCCGCCCGCCCGACCCAAAGGAAAUAGACUGCAGCACUGAUGGGACAACUUUGGGUAAGUGGUGAGGUACCCAGGUAAAGAAUGGGAUUGGGUUAAGGGCCCAACUUAGGGGAGUUAGGGUCUCUCCUAAAACAGAAUGGGUUAGAGGCCCAUCUUAAUAAAAGGCAAGGAUGCUUGACUUUAGGUUAGAGGCCCGACUUAGGAGGGUUAGAGUCCCUUCUAAGAUUUAGGGGGUUAGAGGCCUCUCUCAGUAAAGUCUCUCUCAGUUAAGAACAGGUUUGGCACUUAGUGAUGUUAACUGCUGUUCUCUUUGGAUUAAUCUGCCUUGCACUCUUUGCUGAUGGCUGUGGGUGACAGGGUUAGGCAUGUACAGGAUCCUGGGACAUAGGGACCUUUUUCCUCCCUAAAAGGGAAACUUGAGAGCUAAUAGGAUGGCUGGAAAAUAUCCCUUUG